UCCCGGCCGCGGCGGCGGCAGCGCUGGACUGCGUGGUGGGGCCCUGGGGGCCCUGGGGCGGCUGCAGCUCCCGGUGCGGCGCGGGCAGCACGGCCCGCACCCGGCACGUCGCCGUCCCACCGCGGCCCGGCGGGCGGCCCUGCCCCGACCUCCGACAGCGCCGCGGCUGCCUGGGGGACGACGCGCUCUGCCGCACGGCCAAAGGUAACGGGGGGCUCCCCGCGCCCCCCCGGGCGCCACCGGCCCCCCCUCACCCCGCCGCGCGUUUGCCGGCAGAGGUGGCCAUGAUACUCCCCGACUCCUUCAAACGGCGCCCGGGGGAUGCUGCUGCGCCGCGGGCGGAUGCACCGCCGAGGUAGGUGGACGGGGGGGGGACGCGCGUCGCAACGGGGCCCCGCCGCCCCCAGACCUCGCCGCUCACCGCCGGCCUCUGCCCCGCAGCUACUGCGGGUUUUUCCGCCUGAAGCAGGUGGGAGCCGCCUGCCGCCGGGGCGCCUGGAGCAGCCGGCUGCGGCGGGAGCAGCGGGUGUGCGUGGAGUGCCGGGGGGCCGCGGGGAGCAGCCCCCGCUGCGGCGGCGACGGGCUGCCCGGAGCCAGGUAGGCUGGGGGGCUGGGGGACCCCCCGCUCCCGGGGUGGGUUCGGCGGGUCCCGCUGCAGCCGCGUUCCCCUUGCAGGACGUUCUGGACGGCCGCCGCGGUGGCGGGCUGCCAGGGCUCCUGGGUGCGGGAGGCUCUGCGGGAGCGCUGCGCCUGCCCCCGGCGCUCCCUGCUCUUCGUGUAGCCCCCCCGGCCCUGCCCGCGCCCCCCGGGAAGGCCCGCCGGAGCCGCUCUGCCCUCGAGCAGAGGGUCUUGCCCAAGGAGAGCGCGAGGAGAACGCCUGCACCCCCUUACGAAGCCCGGAAAAGAGGAAACCGCUGGAGCCGUGGCGUGGAAGUCGGCGUCGGAGGAAGGCCGGAUGAYGGCAGCGGCGCCCGGUGCGCUUCCCUCCGCGGCAGCCCGAGCCGGGCCGCGGGCGACAGCGGACGCGGUUUCUGCCCCGCGGUGGGCUUGCGCGUGGAGCACCGCUGCGGCGUCCCGUCCGCAGACCCGUCUUGGGGGACCCGCGAGUUAACGCGGCCGCGGCGAGGCAUUGCGUGGUGUGAGGGGCRCCUCGGCCCCGCUGUGCUCGGUUUGUGGAGUGAGAAUUAAAACGGGAGCCCAAAACACGG
rnacentral:lncRNA from 1 species